AUUACCAAUUCAUCUAAAAUGGAAGAGUGCAAGCAAGUAGAAAAGUACGGUUUGUGCUAUGCUGUGGUGCUCUGAUGCAUAUUUUUCAUCACAUAACAAGGGGCAUCCUUCAGAGACCAGGCUGUCACACUUGUACAAUCUCUGUCAGACUCCAAUGUUGAAAAAGCUAUGCCAACUCUUGUGCCUGGGACCAUUCAGGAAUGGUCAUACCUUUGAACAGAAUCAUACCUUUGAGCAGAGGGCUGGAUGCAUCCUGGGAAAUUCCCCACCUGACCAGUCUAAUGUACUCAUCUUAUAAAUGGAACCUGUCCUCCCUUCAUUACAUCUUGACUGAGUAGAACACCACUACGUUCAAUUAUGGAAUAAACAGACACAGAAAUCAGUGCCUCUCUUCCAAGAGACAUAAAUGUAAUUUAAAAUAAAUAUUUACAGCAAUGUUAGCGAAGCAACCAGUUCAUUUUAUGUCCUAACCUGUCCUCCAAGAACACUGCAUCUCAAUAUAUUCAUAUCUUAAUUUAAUUCUCAGAUUAUUUGGAGCUUGAUUU